AGAGUUUGAUCCUGGCUCAGAACGAACGCUGGCGGCAUGCCUAACACAUGCAAGUCGAACGCCUGUAGCAAUACAGGAGUGGCGGACGGGUGAGUAACACGUGGGAAUCUACCCAGUAGCCUGGAAUAACCGCGGGAAACUGCGGCUAAUACCGGAUACGCCCCGAGGGGGAAAGGAGCAAUCCACUAUUGGAGGAGCCC
rnacentral:rRNA from 1 species